rnacentral:rRNA from 1 species
AUUGAACGCUGGCGGCAUGCUUUACACAUGCAAGUCGAACGGCAGCACGGGUGCUUGCACCUGGUGGCGAGUGGCGAACGGGUGAGUAAUGCAUCGGAACGUGCCCAUGAGUGGGGGAUAGCCCGGCGAAAGCUGGAUUAAUACCGCAUACGCCCUUAGGGGGAAAGCGGGGGAUCUUCGGACCUCGCGCUAUUGGAGCGGCCGAUGUCGGAUUAGCUAGUAGGUGAGGUAAAGGCUCACCUAGGCGACGAUCCGUAGCUGGUCUGAGAGGAUGAUCAGCCACACUGGGACUGAGACACGGCCCAGACUCCUACGGGAGGCAGCAGUGGGGAAUUUUGGACAAUGGGCGCAAGCCUGAUCCAGCCAUGCCGCGUGAGUGAAGAAGGCCUCGGUUGUAAGACGUCUUUCUAGGUGGAAGAAAGUAAGACGCUGUUAAUAGUAUAGGCGUUGAUGACGGUACCGACCACGAAGAAG